rnacentral:rRNA from 1 species
UACGUAGGGUGCAAGCGUUGUCCGGAAUUAUUGGGCGUAAAGAGCUCGUAGGCGGUUUGUCGCGUCUGCUGUGAAAACCCGAGGCUCAACCUCGGGCCUGCAGUGGGUACGGGCAGACUAGAGUGCGGUAGGGGGAGAUUGGAAUUCCUGGUGUGAGCGGUGGAAUGCGCAGAUAUCAGGAGGAACACCAAUGGCGAAGGCAGAUCUCUGGGCCGUAACUGACGCUGAGGAGCGAAAGCAUGGGGAGCGAACAGG